rnacentral:rRNA from 1 species
UUUUGUGCCAAGCCCACGCGGUUAUACAAAAAAUACAAAUAAAUUAUAUUAGAUGUAGUUAAAUUGUAAUAAAUUUGAAUUAAAAUUAAAUUUAUUAGGUGAAAUUUUAAAUUUAUAAUAAUUUAAUUUAAAAAAUAAUUGAAGCUAAAAAAUUUUAGUUAUAAACUAGGAUUAGAUACCCUAUUAUUUAAAAUGUAAAUAGAUAGUUUAGAGUAGUAAUAGUUAUGUUCUUGAAACUUAAAGAAUUUGGCGGUAUUUUAGUCUAUUCAGAGGAACUUGUUCUAUAAUCGAUAGUCCACGUUGGAUCUUACUUAAGUUUGUAAAUCAAUAUGUAUAUCGCCGUUAUCAGAAUAUUUUAUAAGAAUAAUAAUUUUCUAAAUUUUUAAUUUAAUAAUGAUGUCAGGUCAAGGUGCAGUUUAUGUUUAAGUAGAAAUGAGUUACAAUAAAAUUAUUUAAACGGAAAUAAAAUUGAAAUAUUUUAUAUAAGGUGGAUUUGAUAGUAAAAUUAUAAAGAUUAUUAGUUUGAUUAUAGCUCUAAAAUAUGUACACAUCGCCCGUCGCUCUUAUUAUUAAGAUAAGAUAAGUCGUAACAUAGUAGAUGUACUGGAAAGUGUAUCUAGAAUGA